UAGGGAAUCUUCCACAAUGGACGAAAGUCUGAUGGAGCAACGCCGCGUGAGUGAAGAAGGGUCUCGGCUCGUAAAACUCUGUUGUUAAAGAAGAACAUAUCUGAGAGUAACUGUUCAGGUAUUGACGGUAUUUAACCAGAAAGCCACGGCUAACUACGUGCCAG
rnacentral:rRNA from 1 species